rnacentral:lncRNA from 1 species
GCCUCAUUUCCUGUGUUUCUCACUAGAGUUGAUUAUUAUUCUUGUUUUCUCCUUCUCUAAGACCAGGUCCCAGGAGAUGGACAUUAGAAGAACAGAGGAAGAUCUGAACUCAACUUAAAUGCCACUUGGGAUCCUCGAAGCCUACAUUAAGUUGGAUUUUGCCUGUCAUGAGUGCCCUGUACAGAGAUGGGAAGUGGAGGCACAAGAAUCCUUGGAAGGUGAGGACCACCGCCUAAGAUUGUUCUCUGAGCUGCACAGAUUGCACUGUCCAUGCCUGGACUCACACAUCGCAAUAUGUACACAUACAUCAUAUGUUCAUAUUCAUAGACACAUAUACAAAAAACGUAUCUAUGUACAUGUCUGUACAGGCAUAAAAUGGACCUUGUUAAUGACAGAGUUAUGUUUAAUUUGUUUGAUAUUUUUAAAGAUAGGGCUUUACUAUGUACCCCACCAGCCCAGUGACCUCAAAUGACAAUCCUUCUGCCUCGGUCACCCAAAUGGUAAGAUUAUAUUAUGUUGUUCCCACAGUGUUUAUUUCAGAGGAAAAGGGGUUAUGUUGGAAGGACAGUAGAUUCUACAGCUGUUAUUUACUUUCGUAGAGCAACAAAUGUAACUUCCGUAAACACAAUAAAAGAGAAAUAUACAUCCCCUCCUUCGAGACAAGUUCUUCCUCUGUAGUUGGCCUUGAACUCACUGUGCAGUUGAGAACAUACGGAAAUCCUCCUGCUUUAACAUGCCAAGGGAUAGGAUUACACAUAAUACAACCAUACCUGGCUGUAACGAAAAUAUUUCAAAAUCUCCACGUUAUAAAUAUGUGCGUCUGUGAACACCUGCAUGUGCUCACAUCUGCAUGCCUUCACAGCUGGGCCUUAGGCAAGGCAAUACAAGGUUGGUUCUAGGCUCUAAGAUAGAGAACGGCAAACAUGCACAUGUUUUGUGCUUAUUUUUUUGCCUACAUAGGCAAUGUCCACAGGACUAUGGAAACAAACAAUGUAUUUAGGGCUUAGUCCCAAGAUGGUGUGUAAACCAUAAUCUCAGUCCUGAGAGGGUGGGGAGGUAGGCCGGUAGGUCUUGAGUUCCAGGGCAGCCUGGGCUGUGUACCUAGACCCUAUCUCCAAAGCUCGGAGCUGGAGAACAACUUAGAGAUAGAGCAUGUGACAGAGUGUGCUCUGCAGCACCUGAAAUGACAGUGGCAAAGGUAGUGCCCCGCUUAGCACUCACCUUCCAGCCUGAGCCAGAUCCAGGUUUCUCCUGCUCUCAUCAUGGUCCUCAUUGUACUGCGUACUCCCUGCUGUCUCCAGGCGCAGAGGACAGACACGUGGAAUUUGUGUCUUUGGAGAUGAUCUGGUGGAGAGCAAGAACUGUCCGUCCUGUGCAACUGACCUCGAGUGUCAGAUGCUCCUCAUGUCUUAGAUUUAACCGAUUUAAACAGCCUUAACACAAUAGCUUCUGAUGCGAUGUGGUGUGUGUGUGUGUGUGUGUGUGUGUGUGUGUGUGUGUGUGUGUGUGUGUGUGUGUGUGUGUUUAUUUAAGAAAUAAAUAGCUCUCUCCCAGAAUUGAGGAAGAUAUCGAGCUGCUUGCUAACCCGGGGCCUCAGCUCUCACCUCUGAGAAUGUUGUUCUCUGAUGACUUCAGUACUUGGGAGCAGAUAUUUCAAGAACUGAUCCGGGAGGAGAAGCCUGGGGCCAAGUGAACCCUGCAUUUGGAUAAGAAUACUGUGCCAGACGGUGCAGCCCUGGGAUGGAGGCAGCAGCAGCAGACAGCACUUGGCAGGUCUCCUUACGAAAGCACUUCAGGAGUCUUUGAAGAGUGGCCCCAAGUGCCAACAAAGUCUUCCCUCCUGCUCUCUGCUACUGGAGGCCUGGCUUUGUAUCCAGCUGCUCAGCCCUCUUAUCAAGAGAAAACAUAAUAAAACACACAAAAUGGGGAAAAAAAAGAAAUAAAACUGCAAAUACAGCUAACAAUGCUGCCUCUCCCCUGCCAGAUUUUCUCUGACUUCUUUUUAUGGACAUUUUAGCCUCCUGAGCACGGUAUGGUCCUAGGUCUGCACAUGUUCAUGUGCCUCACUCAGGUCCUGGCAGGACACGGACAAUAGAAAGAGAAGAUUGUUUAAUAUAAUCUUCCUGCAAACAUGGAGGCUGCAAAGGGGGGGCAUGUGAUAAGUAUGAAGUCUUUAUGAUAGCAACAAAACACAAAAACAAAACAAAAACACGGAACCCAGAAAGUCUUGCUACUGUACACAGGGUCACCUUACAGUAGCUGUGCUCUUCCCGGAAUUAGCACUGCUUCUGCCCACAGAGCCAGGCACUGUUACAGGAGGAAGAGGCCAGAGCCCACCCGUCUCCCUCCUCCCUUCCCUCUAGACUCCUUCCUACUGGGUGUUCUGUCAGAUCAAACAGACUAGAGGAGAAUCCAGGCAAGGUGGGUGACACACACCUGUAACCCCAGCUUCCCAGGAAGCGGAGGCAGGGGGAUUGAAAGAAACCAGGAACACAGACUAUCCUGAACAAUAUGCAGUGAUCUCAUUUCAAAAGUCAAACAAACAAGCAAACAAACACACAAAAUAAACAAGUAAAUAGAGCCAGGCAGGAAAGCUCAUAAUCUUAGCGCUCAAGAAGAGGUGGAGGCUGGAGCUUCACAAGUUUGAGCUCAGCUUGGGCUAUAAAUCUCAUCUCAAAAAUCACAGUCAAAGGAAAUCAAAGUAAAGGUGGAAGGAAGGGAGGUGUUGAUGACCUCCAUAAAGCUUCCAGGGCCAGAGUGUUGGGGUUCAGGAAUCACCUCACAAACCACACAAACAUUGAUCUCAGUCAGAUAGGGAUAGUUUAUUGAGUAUAUACCCCAAGGCUGAUCCAUCAGGGUCACAGCCUAGACUCAGGAGCUAAGGCUAGACCUCGACCAAUUCUCAGGGCCAGUUUAUAAAGAAAAAAAAACCACCAUGAACUCAUGCAUAGCAUGGCAGGGUAGUUGUUCCUGACUCAAGCUAUUUUGGCUAGCUAGACAGAACAGUCCUAACUGACCUU